rnacentral:rRNA from 1 species
GUUUGAUCCUGGCUCAGGUCGUAACAAGGUAGCCGUGUUUGAUCCUGGCUCAGGUCGUAACAAGGUAGCCGUGUUUGAUCCUGGCUCAGGACGAACGCUGGCGGCGUGCCUAACACAUGCAAGUCGAGCGAAGAAGUCCCUUCGGGGAUGGAUUAGCGGCGGACGGGUGAGUAACACGUGGGUAACCUGCCUCAAAGAGGGGGAUAGCCUCCCGAAAGGGAGAUUAAUACCGCAUAAAAGGUAAAUAUCGCAUGGUAAAUACCUUAAAGGAGAAAUCCGCUUUGAGAUGGGCCCGCGUCGCAUUAGCUAGUUGGAGGGAUAAAAGCCCCCCAAGGCGACGAUGCGUAGCCGACCUGAGAGGGUGAACGGCCACAUUGGAACUGAGAUACGGUCCAGACUCCUACGGGAGGCAGCAGUGGGGAAUAUUGCACAAUGGGGGAAACCCUGAUGCAGCAACGCCGCGUGAGUGAAGAAGGUUUUCGGAUCGUAAAGCUCUGUCAUCCGGGACGAUAAUGACGGUACCGGAAGAGGAAGCCACGGCUAACUACGUGCCAGCAGCCGCGGUAAUACGUAGGUGGCGAGCGUUGUCCGGAAUUACUGGGCGUAAAGGGUGUGCAGGCGGAUAUUUAAGUGAGAUGUGAAAGACCCGGGCUUAACCCGGGCAGUGCAUUUCAAACUGGAUAUCUAGAGUGCAGGAGAGGAGAACGGAAUUCCUAGUGUAGCGGUGAAAUGCGUAGAGAUUAGGAAGAACACCAGUGGCGAAGGCGGUUCUCUGGACUGUAACUGACGCUGAGGCACGAAAGCGUGGGUAGCAAACAGGAUUAGAUACCCUGGUAGUCCACGCCGUAAACGAUGAGUACUAGGUGUAGGGGGUAUCGACCCCCCCUGUGCCGCAGUAAACACAAUAAGUACUCCGCCUGGGAAGUACGAUCGGCAAGAUUAAAACU